UUCAUUAAAGAUGAUGGUCUUUUUUUGGUUCUUGAAAAAAUGCAGGUGUCUGCCAUCACUAAGCCUUCCUCUUUAUAUCUAUUAAGAAGAUUUAAAAAUAGUUUAUAGGAAGAGUAUAUACCAUACAAGCAGCUGGGUUAGAAAUACCCCCCUCACCCACUGUCAUAUUCUUAAAUAUUCCUUUUUUUAAAUCACCUUCAUCAUUUGUAGCUAAAGUUCAUGAAUUCAAAGGGAUGAAAGCACAUGUUUAAUGACAUUCUUUUUUCUCAUGAAGAAGAAAAUAAGUAAGAAUAGCUUUUCAAUGCAGUGAAUAUCACAGAUAAGUAAGAUAGAUAUGAAAACAUCUUUCUAUUUUGAAAGUUCUAUCAUCUUAAAGUUUAAAUCUUGGUCGAAAGUAAUAUUGGUACCAUAGAGGAGUUGGUUAGAUGCAAAUGCAGAAUAAAUUAUUUUACUUCCUUCUUUAAGAAUCUAAAAUUCUAGAUAGAUUGUAAAUUUAAUUAGUUUUAUUUUCAGUCAUUUGAUGAGGAUCAAAAAGGUGGAUCACUGUUCCUAGUUUUGUGGUUACUUCUAUGUGUUCUUGAAUCAUGUACUUAUGAUAUUUAGAAAUGAAUCAGCAAAGAAAUAUAUCUUCAACUCUAUUUGCGCUACUUAUAUGUAUAUUUUCUCUUACUUAUAUCUGCAUAGGAUAUCAUCCUUUCUAAGAAUAGCAUUAAAAGGUAAAUAGAGUAUAUAGGCACUCAACAAUUAGGUUACUUUUUAUUUUAUCUCUUGACUUUCA
rnacentral:lncRNA from 1 species